rnacentral:rRNA from 1 species
GACGAACGCUGGCGGCGUGCUUAACACAUGCAAGUCGAACGAUGAACCCGGAGCUUGCUCCGGCGGAUUAGUGGCGAACGGGUGAGUAACACGUGAGUAACCUGCCCUUGACUCUGGGAUAACUGCUAGAAAUGGUAGCUAAUACCGGAGACGACCCUCGGUGGCAUCACCAGGGGGUUGAAAGAAUUUCGGUCAAGGAUGGACUCGCGGCCUAUCAGCUAGUUGGUGAGGUAACGGCUCACCAAGGCGACGACGGGUAGCCGGCCUGAGAGGGUGACCGGCCACACUGGGACUGAGACACGGCCCAGACUCCUACGGGAGGCAGCAGUGGGGAAUAUUGCACAAUGGGCGCAAGCCUGAUGCAGCAACGCCGCGUGAGGGAUGACGGCCUUCGGGUUGUAAACCUCUUUUAGUAGGGAAGAAGCGAAAGUGACGGUACCUGCAGAAAAAGCACCGGCUAACUACGUGCCAGCCGCCGCAGUAA